rnacentral:miRNA from 1 species
AAGUGGAAAGCCAGCCUGAGAUACAGUGUGAUAAUCCGUUUCAAGGGUUUUUUCCCCUUGA